rnacentral:rRNA from 2 species
UGGUGCUUGCAUCAUGAUUUACAUUUGAGUGAGUGGCGAACUGGUGAGUAACACGUGGGAAACCUGCCCAGAAGCGGGGGAUAACACCUGGAAACAGAUGCUAAUACCGCAUAACAACUUGGACCGCAUGGUCCGAGUUUGAAAGAUGGCUUCGGCUAUCACUUUUGGAUGGUCCCGCGGCGUAUUAGCUAGAUGGUGGGGUAACGGCUCACCAUGGCAAUGAUACGUAGCCGACCUGAGAGGGUAAUCGGCCACAUUGGGACUGAGACACGGCCCAAACUCCUACGGGAGGCAGCAGUAGGGAAUCUUCCACAAUGGACGAAAGUCUGAUGGAGCAACGCCGCGUGAGUGAAGAAGGGUUUCGGCUCGUAAAACUCUGUUGUUAAAGAAGAACAUAUCUGAGAGUAACUGUUCAGGUAUUGACGGUAUUUAACCAGAAAGCCACGGCAAACAACGGGCCAGCAGCCGCGGUAAUACGUAGGUGGCAAGCGUUGUCCGGAUUUAUUGGGCGUAAAGCGAGCGCAGGCGGUUUUUUAAGUUUGAUGUGAAAGCCUUCGGCUCAACCGAAGAAGUGCAUCGGAAACUGGGAAACUUGAGUGCAGAAGAGGACAGUGGAACUCCAUGUGUAGCGGUGAAAUGCGUAGAUAUAUGGAAGAACACCAGUGGCGAAGGCGGCUGUCUGGUCUGUAACUGACGCUGAGGCUCGAAAGUAUGGGUAGCAAACAGGAUUAGAUACCCUGGUAGUCCAUACCGUAAACGAUGAAUGCUAAGUGUUGGAGGGUUUCCGCCCUUCAGUGCUGCAGCUAACGCAUUAAGCAUUCCGCCUGGGGAGUACGGCCGCAAGGCUGAAACUCAAAGGAAUUGACGGGGGCCCGCACAAGCGGUGGAGCAUGUGGUUUAAUUCGAAGCUACGCGAAGAACCUUACCAGGUCUUGACAUACUAUGCAAAUCUAAGAGAUUAGACGUUCCCUUCGGGGACAUGGAUACAGGUGGUGCAUGGUUGUCGUCAGCUCGUGUCGUGAGAUGUUGGGUUAAGUCCCGCAACGAGCGCAACCCUUAUUAUCAGUUGCCAGCAUUAAGUUGGGCACUCUGGUGAGACUGCCGGUGACAAACCGGAGGAAGGUGGGGAUGACGUCAAAUCAUCAUGCCCCUUAUGACCUGGGCUACACACGUGCUACAAUGGAUGGUACAACGAGUUGCGAACUCGCGAGAGUAAGCUAAUCUCUUAAAGCCAUUCUCAGUUCGGAUUGUAGGCUGCAACUCGCCUACAUGAAGUCG